CUUGGCUCUCGCCCUCCGGCCGGGAAGCAUGGGGCUUCCCAGGCUGGUCUGCGCCUUCUUGCUCGCCGCCUGCUGCUGCUGUCCUCGCGUCGCGGGUGUGCCCGGAGAGGCUGAGCAGCCUGCGCCUGAGCUGGUGGAGGUUGAAGUGGGCAGCACAGCCCUUCUGAAGUGCGGCCUCUCCCAGUCCCAAGGCGACCUCAGCCAUGUCGACUGGUUUUCUGUCCACAAGGAGAAGCGGACGCUCAUCUUCCGUGUGCGGCAGGGCCAGGGCCAGAGCGAACGUGGGGAGUACGAGCAGCGGCUCAGCCUCCAGGACAGAGGGGCUACUCUGGCCCUGACUCAAGUCACCCCCCACGACGAGCGCAUCUUCUUGUGCCAGGGCAAGCGCCCUCGGUCCCAGGAGUACCGCAUCCAGCUCCGCGUCUACAAAGCUCCGGAGGAGCCAAACAUCCAGGUCAACGCCCUGGGCAUCCCUGUGAACAGUAAGGAGCCUGAGGAGGUGAGAUGUGUGGCAGGUGGGCUGGGCAGCUGGUGCGCAGCCGCUGAGAUAGG
rnacentral:sRNA from 1 species